rnacentral:rRNA from 1 species
GACGAACCGUACGAACGUUAUUCGGAAUUACUGGGCUUAAAGGGUGCGUAGGCUGUGCAGAAAGUUGGGUGUGAAAUCCCCCGGCUCAACCGGGGAAUGGCGCUCAAAACUACUGUGCUAGAGGGAGACAGAGGUAAGCGGAACUCAGGGUGGAGCGGUGAAAUGCGUUGAUAUCCUGAGGAACACCGGUGGCGAAGGCGGCUUACUGGGUCUCUUCUGACGCUGAGGCACGAAAGCUAGGGUAGCGAACGGG